rnacentral:lncRNA from 1 species
AACCCAAAUUUGCAACUUAAAAUUUCUACAGCUGUGUUUGCAAGAAAUCAACUAUUACUUUUCUACAUACGUAGCUCUCGUAAUAUAUUGAUAUGCAUCAUGUAGAUACAUAUAGGAAAAGAAAUGUACCCAGAAAAACUAAAACUAGAACGAACAGUGUGUAUAUUUCGAAUUUAGCAUUUCGUAGCCACUCACAUUGAAAUGCUAAGUUCUCGAAGGAAUAAUCACAGCAUCAGGUAAAGAAAAAAAAAAUACUUUAUCCCAAAUGGCACAAGACAAUCCGCUCAAUCUUACUGCAGGAGUAUUAUUUAUAAUUGCUCUGAGGACCACCGCUUGCAAUUGCAAGUCACAAUUUGGCAACGAUGCACUUGCACACCAACCAAGAACCAACUCCCAUGUCGCAGGCUCGCCUAUAAAAUCACUCUUGCAGGUGGCACAACACUCGCCUUGUCAGUUGUCACUUCACCGUCACCGUGCGCCAAGAAGCCGCC